CUUUAUAAAUUACAAACAUUUUUUAUGCACAACUUGUUUACCUAGUUUUUAUUUGUACACUGAAACGGAACUGUUCCUUUAAGUAUCUAAAGAAGGGUGUUUCCCUCAAAGCCUUUCUUUCAUGCACUGUUCUACUUUAAACAUAUAUUGGUGACCACUUAAGAAAUUUUGGGAGGUGAACUGGCUACUGCCGCAUUAUUUCAAUGGUCUAUUUCCCAGACUGUUUGAGCCCCUGUUGUAUGUAAUGGAAGUGGUAAAUUGAAAUGUGUAGCUUUAUAUGGAAUCUGAAACUAAAACUUUCCUUUUUAAAAACUAUAGGCAGGAAUAGUACAUAAUGAAGCGAGUGGUGUUGUGUAGCUUUUAACCAAGCCUUAUUGAAUAUCUAGACACACUCUGUUGUGAAUGUGCCCAUCUCAGUUUAAGGCAAUAUUAAGAUACAGGUUUUGCUUUCAUCAUGCAAAUUACAAAUUGCACUGGUGACAAUGAGACCUGCCACAUUUUCAUAAUGUUUAGAACAAUGUCCUAAGCAGGUCUACUUAUGAUUUUUUUUAUUCUUUUUGAACUUGCUGAAAAAAAUUGUUUGAGGUGUUGCCUGCCUUGGAAUAAGCCUAGGUGUAGUGAAAUGCUUUUUGGACUACUAAAAUCAAUGGUCUGAAUGCACUUUCUCCAAAAUAUUAUCUUAAUACUAUGCACUCUUUUCAGGCAUUGAUGUGGAAAUGGGAUCCUAUAACAUGCUGCUUAUUUUCUGCAGAAGAAAUACUGCUCCAUCAAGGUCAUUUCAGGCGACCUCUCCUGGCGUCCUUGAGUUCUAUACUCAUGACUGUAAUGCAAAAUUGAUCACUAAAUCGAAGGGUUGAUCAGUACUACUUCACUUACAGCUGUGGCAUGGAGGGUUUUGAAAAGCAAACUUUGCUGUUUAAAGGCACACCUGUGGUAUUAUAAUGCAAACAGACGGAAUUAAAAGCUGUUAAAUGAUGGCUGUCCUUUGAGGCAUUGUAUGCUGAGAUGUAGGAGAUGUGACAAAGGCUCUGGAUGCUGAGAUGUAGGAGCUGUGACAAAGGAGGUAGACAUGUUUGCCUUGCUCUGGAGAGAAUUUAAUACAAGCUUAUGACUUGCUGAAAAGGCUUGUGAUUAAAACUACAAUCAAAUUUUUUUUCUGAACUAUAACCUGCACAUUGGUCUUUGCAUUAAAAUUGUUUUGAAGUA